UUUGACUGAGGGGAACUGGUGGUUGCCAAGGCAAGAAAUACACAAAUAAAUCAAAGGAGGUGGGGAAGGGCGGGGAGGGGAGGGCAGUGCUGGGGUUUGUACCGGCGAGGAGGAGGCGGGAAAGGCUGCUCUAAGGGAGGACAUGGGCUCAUUGUUCAGACCUUAUGGCCUUAGAGUUGGCCGAGUGUCUUAGAGGAGUGGGCCUGUGACCAUCACAACACAACAGACAAGAGACUUUCUAUUACAAGCAAUCCCACUGGCAGAAGAAUAAAAUGCUAAGUGCUGUUUUACUGUUCAUUAGUAAUAUGUCAUGAGUGAUUUAGAAGCUGUUCUGAUGCAACUGAAAGAAACCCACAGCAGAACUGAUGAGUAAGUAGAUCUUAUACCUACUUAAAUCCAGUGAACAG